rnacentral:rRNA from 1 species
UACGUAGGGUGCAAGCGUUGUCCGGAAUUAUUGGGCGUAAAGGGCUCGUAGGCGGUCCAUCGCGUCGGGAGUGAAAAGCUGGGGCUUAACCCCAGUCCUGCUUCCGAUACGGGUGGACUAGAGGUAGGUAGGGGAGAUCGGAAUUCCUGGUGUAGCGGUGAAAUGUGCAGAUAUCAGGAGGAACACCGGUGGCGAAGGCGGAUCUCUGGGCCUUACCUGACGCUGAGGAGCGAAAGCAUGGGGAGCAAACAGG